AUUGAACGCUGGCGGCAUGCUUUACACAUGCAAGUCGAACGGCAGCGCGGGCUUCGGCCUGGCGGCGAGUGGCGAACGGGUGAGUAAUACAUCGGAACGUGCCCAGUCGUGGGGGAUAGCUCGGCGAAAGCCGGAAUAAUACCGCAUACGACCUGAGGGUGAAAGCGGGGGAGCUUCGGACCUCGCGCUAUUGGAGCGGCCGAUGGCAGAUUAGCUAGUUGGUGGGGUAAAGGCCUACAAAGGCGACGAUCUGUAGCUGGUCUGAGAGGACGACCAGCCACACUGGGACUGAGACACGGCCCAGACUCCUACGGGAGGCAGCAGUGGGGAAUUUUGGGCAAUGGGCGAGAGCCUGAUCCAGCAAUGCCGCGUGUGUGAUGAAGGCCUUCGGGUUGUAAAGCACUUAUGGCGGUAGCGAAAAGGACUGUGCCAAUACCACGGUUCGAUGACGGUACCCGCAGAAUAAGCACCGGCUAACUACGUG
rnacentral:rRNA from 1 species